CCAGCUCGGCGAGCGUAUAUUAAAGUUGUUGCAGUUAAAAAGCUCGUAGUUGGUCACAAUUACUUUGAACAAAUUAGAGUGCUUCAGAUCAUAGUUGAGCAUGGAAUAAUGAAAGACGACAUUGGCCACAAUGUAAUGAUCAAUAGGGACGGUCGGGGGCACUGGUAUUUGGUAGUCAGAGGUGAAAUUCUUGGAUUUACUAACGACCAACUGCUGCGAAAGCAUUUGCCAAGGACGUUUUCA
rnacentral:rRNA from 1 species